GGGUUGUGAGGUUAAGCGACUAAGCGUACACGGUGGAUGCCCUGGCAGUCAGAGGCGAUGAAGGACGUGCUAAUCUGCGAAAAGCGCCGGCGAGGUGAUAUGAACCCUUGACCCGGCGAUGUCCGAAUGGGGAAACCCAGUGCAAUCCGUUGCACUAUCGUUAACUGAAUACAUAGGUUAACGAGGCGAACCGGGGGAACUGAAACAUCUAAGUACCCCGAGGAAAAGAAAUCAACCGAGAUUCCCCCAGUAGCGGCGAGCGAACGGGGAGCAGCCCGGAGUCUGAAUCAGCUUGUGUGUUAGUGGAACGGUCUGGAAAGUCCGACGGUACAGGGUGAUAGUCCCGUACACGAAAGCACACAUGCUGUGAACUCGAAGAGUAGGGCGGGACACGUGGUAUCCUGUCUGAAUAUGGGGGGACCAUCCUCCAAGGCUAAAUACUCCUGACUGACCGAUAGUGAACCAGUACCGUGAGGGAAAGGCGAAAAGAACCCCGGCGAGGGGAGUGAAAAAGAACCUGAAACCGUGUACGUACAAGCAGUGGGAGCCUCUUUAUGGGGUGACUGCGUACCUUUUGUAUAAUGGGUCAGCGACUUAUAUUCUGUAGCAAGGUUAACCGUAUAGGGGAGCCGAAGGGAAACCGAGUCUUAACUGGGCGUUAAGUUGCAGGGUAUAGACCCGAAACCCGGUGAUCUAGCCAUGGGCAGGUUGAAGGUUGGGUAACACUAACUGGAGGACCGAACCGACUAAUGUUGAAAAAUUAGCGGAUGACCUGUGGCUGGGGGUGAAAGGCCAAUCAAACCGGGAGAUAGCUGGUUCUCCCCGAAAGCUAUUUAGGUAGCGCCUCGUGAACUCAUCUUCGGGGGUAGAGCACUGUUUCGGCUAGGGGGCCAUCCCGGCUUACCAACCCGAUGCAAACUACGAAUACCGAAGAAUGUUAUCACGGGAGACACACGGCGGGUGCUAACGUCCGUCGUGAAGAGGGAAACAACCCAGACCGCCAGCUAAGGUCCCAAAGUCAUGGUUAAGUGGGAAACGAUGUGGGAAGGCACAGACAGCCAGGAUGUUGGCUUAGAAGCAGCCAUCAUUUAAAGAAAGCGUAAUAGCUCACUGGUCGAGUCGGCCUGCGCGGAAGAUGUAACGGGGCUAAACCAUGCACCGAAGCUGCGGCAGCGACACUAUGUGUUGUUGGGUAGGGGAGCGUUCUGUAAGCCGUUGAAGGUGUGCUGUGAGGCAUGCUGGAGGUAUCAGAAGUGCGAAUGCUGACAUAAGUAACGAUAAAGCGGGUGAAAAGCCCGCUCGCCGGAAGACCAAGGGUUCCUGUCCAACGUUAAUCGGGGCAGGGUGAGUCGACCCCUAAGGCGAGGCCGAAAGGCGUAGUCGAUGGGAAACAGGUUAAUAUUCCUGUACUUGGUGUUACUGCGAAGGGGGGACGGAGAAGGCUAUGUCAGCCGGGCGACGGUUGUCCCGGUUUAAGCAUGUAGGCGGAGGUUCCAGGUAAAUCCGGUACCUUGUUAACGCUGAGGUGUGAUGACGAGGCACUACGGUGCUGAAGUGAUAAAUGCCCUGCUUCCAGGAAAAGCCUCUAAGCAUCAGGUAACACGAAAUCGUACCCCAAACCGACACAGGUGGUCAGGUAGAGAAUACCAAGGCGCUUGAGAGAACUCGGGUGAAGGAACUAGGCAAAAUGGUGCCGUAACUUCGGGAGAAGGCACGCUGAUAUGUAGGUGAAGCCCCUGCGGGCGGAGCUGAAAUCAGUCGAAGAUACCAGCUGGCUGCAACUGUUUAUUAAAAACACAGCACUGUGCAAACACGAAAGUGGACGUAUACGGUGUGACGCCUGCCCGGUGCCGGAAGGUUAAUUGAUGGGGUUAGCGGCAACGCGAAGCUCUUGAUCGAAGCCCCGGUAAACGGCGGCCGUAACUAUAACGGUCCUAAGGUAGCGAAAUUCCUUGUCGGGUAAGUUCCGACCUGCACGAAUGGCGUAAUGAUGGCCAGGCUGUCUCCACCCGAGACUCAGUGAAAUUGAACUCGCUGUGAAGAUGCAGUGUACCCGCGGCAAGACGGAAAGACCCCGUGAACCUUUACUAUAGCUUGACACUGAACACUGGUCCUUGAUGUGUAGGAUAGGUGGGAGGCUUUGAAGCGUGGACGCCAGUCUGCGUGGAGCCAACCUUGAAAUACCACCCUUUAAUGGCUGGUGUUCUAACGUAGACCCGUAAUCCGGGUUGCGGACAGUGUCUGGUGGGUAGUUUGACUGGGGCGGUCUCCUCCCAAAGAGUAACGGAGGAGCACGAAGGUUGGCUAAUCCUGGUCGGACAUCAGGAGGUUAGUGCAAUGGCAUAAGCCAGCUUGACUGCGAGCGUGACGGCGCGAGCAGGUGCGAAAGCAGGUCAUAGUGAUCCGGUGGUUCUGAAUGGAAGGGCCAUCGCUCAACGGAUAAAAGGUACUCCGGGGAUAACAGGCUGAUACCGCCCAAGAGUUCAUAUCGACGGCGGUGUUUGGCACCUCGAUGUCGGCUCAUCACAUCCUGGGGCUGAAGUAGGUCCCAAGGGUAUGGCUGUUCGCCAUUUAAAGUGGUACGCGAGCUGGGUUUAGAACGUCGUGAGACAGUUCGGUCCCUAUCUGCCGUGGGCGCUGGAGAAUUGAGGGGGGCUGCUCCUAGUACGAGAGGACCGGAGUGGACGCAUCACUGGUGUUCGGGUUGUCAUGCCAAUGGCACUGCCCGGUAGCUAAAUGCGGAAGAGAUAAGUGCUGAAAGCAUCUAAGCACGAAACUUGCCCCGAGAUGAGUUCUCCCUGAGACUUUAAGUCUCCUGAAGGAACGUUGAAGACGACGACGUUGAUAGGUCGGGUGUGUAAGCGCAGCGAUGCGUUGAGCUAACCGAUACUAAUGAACCGUGAGGCUUAACCUUACAACGCCGAAGGUGUUU
rnacentral:rRNA from 1 species